rnacentral:lncRNA from 1 species
UUCUACACAUUACGUUAUUGCCAAGCCCUAACCUCCUUUCUCCUCUGCUUCUGGUCAGCCAAUCGACGUUGCCAGAAUUCUUUUACAGGUGGCUUAACUUUGUUUUAUUGAAAGAUUUUACAGGUAUAAAUAAAUAACUUUUAUUUAUUUAGCGUUUACGUGUUGCCUGUUAAUCUGUUAUGCGUUGAUGUAUUUUGGAUUUUGACAACACAAUUUCUCUUCCCUCCUUCAUUACAUGGAUUCCCGUCAUGAACAAAUAACCAACCACCACCACCGCCUGUGUAUGGCAACGUCGAGUGCGCGAAGGUCGAGACUUCUAUCGGUGAAGCGGAAAACUAAACCACUAAGCUAAACCCGAAGCGGUUGAAAGUGAAGAGCCGUUGAUUGGACCAAAAUCGACGAGUCUGUUUCUUAUGGAUUAUUUGAAAUUUUGUUCAAAGCUGAAAGUGUAACAGCAGAGUUGUGACAGAAUUUUAGACCAUUACAAGCGUUCUAUCUGAAUGUACUUGUCUAUGUGGCUGUUAUUCAGGAUGGUUUAUGGUUGUGUCAUCGGAAGGUUAACUUACAAAGGAUUGGUACAAGGGCAAAAUAUGACUUAAAUGGUGGUGGGGAUUAAUGGUAGCUGUGAGGUUGGGAUUGUUAGUGGAGGACAAGGAUCGAUUCACAUCGUCUUCUAGAUCGAUUUAGAGGAGGAUCGAUCGGUUAGCAUCGUCUUCUAGAUUAGCACUUUUGACUUAACUUUCAAGUGAUUGUGAAUUAUUAGUAUAUUUUACUUGUAACCCCGUUUUCAAGUGCGGGGGCUUUUUACCGGUUAAUAUGGUUUUGAAUAUAUUUAGUAAUGAAUUAUUAUU